rnacentral:rRNA from 1 species
UACGUAGGGGGCAAGCGUUGUCCGGAAUCAUUGGGCGUAAAGAGCGUGUAGGCGGCCCGAUAAGUCCGCUGUGAAAGUCCAGGGCUCAACCCUGGGAUGCCGGUGGAUACUGUCGGGCUCGAGUCCGGAAGAGGAGUGUGGAAUUCCUGGUGUAGCGGUGAAAUGCGCAGAUAUCAAGAGGAACACCUGAGGUGAAGACGGGUUGCUGGGCCGACACUGACGCUGAGUGCGCGAAAGCCAGGGGAGCAAACAGG